UUUCUGCCAUGUUCUGUAGAAAUUGUUGGUACUUCAGAACAUGCUUGAGAGAAGCAGCAUGUUGUUCUUUGAGAUUCUGAUUCGUGUUUUAUUUAACACUGCAGAUGAGGAAGGUGCUGGUUUGCACCACUAUUAUGCCUGAUUUGGGAGAAAUUGUCUCUGUGAUCCCACUGAAGUGGAAUGUGCUCCAAAGGAGGAGGUGUUUGGAGACCAGGAGAGCUGGGGUUUUCGUACUGUGACUCAGGAGCCAUGCAAGCAAUGUGACAACUACUGGAAAACACCUGUUAGUAUCAGAGACAGCAUCAGCCUGGGGAUACUUGUGAGGGGAUCUGCAACCUGCUUUGAGCUUGGUUACAGUCACACCUAAUUCUGACGUGGAUUCUGCUGCAGCAUUGUUGAACCUCUGAUACUGCUGGUUUCUAAGAGAAGAAUUUUAAAUUUAUGUUGAGGUAGGACAGGCAUGGAGGUCUAAAGACACAUGGUGAAAUACACAGUGCUUCUGAAAUCUGCUGAUGAAUGAAGGGUGGUGUGAGCCACAGCCUGCAAGCUGCACAAUGGUGAGUAAAGGUAAUGGUGACAGACUGAGGCUCCAAAUGAAUAGCAGUUGUCUGCUGCACCUUAGCUUUCUAACAUAAUGGUUAUGAAGUCAGAAAGAUGAAACUUGUUCCAUUUAGUGGCAUUUCUCUUCUGAUGGGAGUGGUGGUUACAGAUACAACAGCAGAAUGCAAGAGCCAGGGUGUGGCUUUCUUUCCUUACCAUUGCUCUGUGUGGACACCUGUAUUUGUGAGAGGAAUAUCCAGCUCCUUUGACUGGAUAUGAGCAGUUCUGCCCACUGAUCGUUCAGAGUUUCUCCCCUCUGGUAAGGACAGUAAAUUUUCUCAAGCAUUUUCUUCUACAGACCUAGGAAGGCCUAUUUUUUCAUUCUUUAUUUUUAUUUUAAGUUGGAUUACUUUUGCUCCCUUUAUGGCCUAUAGAGUUGACUGUGUUUGCUUUCACCUCUCUUCCACUGGGCAAGAAGCCAGACCAUGACUCUUGGUGGAGGGAUGCAGACUUUGUGGUAAAAUGGAAUAUCUGGUAAGAUAUAUAGCACUGUCCACAGCAUAAAUUCUUAGGAACAUGGGAAGUAUAGUAAAUAUCAACAUAUGAGCACCAAGGUGCCCAUGCAGCCCUCAUGCAAUUCUCAGGGAUUGAAACUGAGCCCAUGGGAUGUGUCUGGAAGAUCAUGUUAAAGUAAAACUUUCCAAUCAUGUUAAAUCUAGACUUCCUGUAUUUAAGUGUAAACUACCUAAUAAUUUAUGCCCAAGUGUCUUUACAGUACUACAAGGGAUCUUUUCACCAGGAUUUAGUUGUGGUCAGAAAUACGUGAAUGUGUGACAACAUCUUCUGUUGUAAUAGACAAAUUUUUGCUCUCUGUAACUAAACCAUGACCCCACAGGGGGAGAGAAGAAGCAAAAGUACAUAUCUCACUUGAGGGAACAGUUUGCUGCUGUUAUCUUUAGGGGGUUUGCCAUCUGUGAAUUUAGCCUAAUAUACCUUAUCCUUAAAAUAAUGUCAAUCACCUCCUCAGCCAAUCUUAGUAUUGAGAGUAGAUUUAUUUUUUUUUUCCAAGUUAUACACAAACUGUUUAUACAUUAUGGUUCGGUUGUGACACAUUUAUAACUUGGCUGAACAAAGAAAAGUAUUUUUUUCCUAUAUGACUGCUUAGCACACAAACUCAGAGUGACUGGCAAAGCUGAAAAAAAAAUUUCUUUAAGAGAAAAUAAACCAAAGCAUGUUAUUUAGAAGAGAAGGGAGAGGGGAGUUUUUUAUUACAAUCUCCUUAAGGGAAAAAGUGGGGAAAUCCCCUAAUGUUGUUAGCAUGACACAAGAUCUUGUGUUUGAAGACUUGCAGAAGUGUAUCUCAUGUGAUGACUAAUCUCAUUUGUCUUUUCUAUUUUUCUGUCACCAUAACUGUGAUGUUUGAGGACAGCUGGUGUCCUCAGAGCUAAGCCAUCCUGUGUUUGUUUGUUCCAUAUAAGUCUAGAGACUGAGCCAGCAAGGGUGGCAGUGCAGCCAAACCUGGAGUGCAGAGUCUUGUUCCUAAUGCCCUGACAACAGGGCUUUCAAGGUGAGUUGUCUUAUGACCUUGGGCCUCCUUGGGCUUGGGGACAAUAAUUCUUUCUGAAAAGACACAUCCAGCAAAGUUGUGUUCUCAAUCCAGAUGGAGGCAGUGAAGCUCAGGAACUCGACUCUAUGGACAUCUGGAUUAGAGGCAGAGAUGAAUUUGGUGCUCAAUAUUGUUCCCCUGCAUCAAAGGGAUAUAUUUAGGUAACCUCCCACUAGAAGGUGAAAUAGGAGCUUUCCUUUCCCCUGUUUUUUAAUUGAGAGAGCUCUGCUGGGCACAAUGUUAAGUUCUCCUCCCCAUAUUCGUAGUGUGUUUUUUUCCCCCUAAUAUUUUAGAGUUUUGUACUGAAAGUGAGUUUUAAAUGUUGAAGGAUAAUGUGGGAGUUUCUGAAACUGAACACGUAAACAUAUGCUGGGAUUGUCUUAUUUAAGACAUUCCUUGUUUGCCACAAAGGAAUAAGAGGACUCCAAAAAAUAUAUUGCACUUAGCUAUAGCUGUCAUGAAUGGUAGAGGAGGUCCCAUAAAGGGGCUGAAGGUAUUUUAUUCUAUCCAUUUGUCAGACUAAUCACUGUCUUGUGAGAGAGGUUAUUUCAGUAAAAAAUGAAAGUCAGCUCUCAAGUGAGAAGGAAAUGAAUGAUGUGAAGAGACACCUGACUCAUAAUUAACUCUGUUCGACAGGUGAGCAUGCACAUUGUUAUAUAAUAUUGUAUGAACAUAGUUUAAAGGUAGUGUAGGGUGAGUCACAAAUUCUGCAUUCUCCAACUUUAUAAGGCAUUGCAUGAAGUGAUUUUUCUCCUCCUAGAUGAUGAAUUACUUUGAGUAGCAAAAAAACACUUUUUUGUGUCAUAUCCUGCUGGUUGUUAAGUACAACUCUUGCAUGUCUCCAUCUCCCUCAAAAGUCUCCAGAUGACUCAAAAAAGAAAAAAAAGGAAUGAGAAACUGGAAUAUUUUUUAAGAAUACGUUGUAUUCAGUGCAUUUUCAGAAUCCAAAUUCCUCUCAUAUGUAUUUCAGAAGCUCUUGAUGGUAGUGUCCUUCCACAGUGAGUAUAUUACUGUGUUCAUUGAGUUAUUGUCACUGUUGAUUUUAAAAGUCUUAAGGUUAUUUCAUAGACAAACAAAUCAUGCUGAGGUCAAAGCAAGUUUAAUAACACUUCUUGUUGAAUUCUAAAAUACAAGAGGAUCAUUCUGCUUGAGUACUUGGCAGCUGUGAAGUGUUUUAAUGAACAGAGCUUUAUUUCUAUAUGACUAUUAAAGCAAACAGUGUUGGUGAAUGUACAUGUUUGUACAGCAAGCAGAAAUCUCUUGUGCAGACUUUUUGCACUUCUCUCUCUUUCAAGAACAUUUUUUCUCAAGGGAUGCAGCCUGGAGCCCAUGGAAUGAUUUUGUAGUGCAAAGAUGCCAAGGCCUGGUUAGUAAAGAGUUUUUAAGUGCAAGUGCCCACAGCUGCAGAAUGUGUUCCUGUCCCUUUGCUCUGGCUGUUCUAACCAGAAAACCCUUCUGCCUGUUCCCUAGCAAUGCACUGGCUCCAAACCUGCAGCAGAGAGUGGUACCCUGGGGUUCAUCUUAACAGAAUGCACAGGAAGGAGGAAAAUGUACAUUUUGCCUCAGCAGCUGCUCAUCACCACCUUUAUAAUUCAGUUCUGCACUGCAUUGGAAAUGUUGCAUCCCCAGGCUUGGAUAUGUCUCUGACCCAAGAGAGGUGCUCAGAGGAGAGAAGGAAGCUUAAUGAGAUUCAGUGCCUAGUCUGGUAAGUCUCCAUGUGACUCCUUGUGUUGAGCCCAGUCUAGUUAUUGCUGUGAAGGAACAAGCUUUAUAUGAUCAGGAACAAGGACACUGAUGUCUUCUAUGCUUUCUUUCUGAAAAAGAAACAAAAUUAAAACCAGACAACAUAAUUUGGCCUCUGCUGGCUCAAGACUUCGGAGCAGAAUAGGGAAAAUUUAAUAGGACCUUUUACUAUCCCGAGAACAAAUGAUUUUGUCCUCAUUAAUGAAAUGGCAAAAUGGACUUGCAGCAGAGGCAGAGCAGUUGUGUUAAGGAUCAUUGCCCCUGAAAAGGCUGGAGGGGGAUGGGGAUGAGUGAGCCCUACAGCUCCAGCUGUGCCCCACUCUUCUGCUUGGCAGGGCCCCGCGGGACAGGAUGGAGAUGUGGGCAGAGGGAUGGGAGGAGCAGGGGGCACCUCCCUCUACUGCAGGACAGGCUGCCCUCAGGGGCACAGAGCAGGGCUGCCUGCAGCAGCACCUCUGGGCUGCUCCCUGGGCUGGGGCAUCUUCUGUGCACUGAAGCAGCUGCACAGGGGGACAUGGAGGGGGAAGAUUGCUCAGCCAGCACCAGGGGUUUCGAGUAUUUGUUUUGCUCAUUUUCUAAAAGAGUCCUGACUCGAAAGCUUUUUCAGCAGCUGCAGAAAUCUACAGUCUUUAGCUCACAGCCCAGUCUGUCAUUUUGUGUUACAUCAUGUACUAUUCCAGGAGGUAGAGCUGCCUAUGAUUUCAUAGCACAGUUGAUUUUCUAGCUUAAUUCCUCAAGGGACCUUAAAGGAAAUGGAAACCCACAAAUAAAAUGAAGAAAUUAAAAUAAAUUACUAACUCUAAAAUGCAGCAUUUAUUUGGAUUAAUAAAAUACAAAAUUGUAAUGACCC